AUGAACUCUGAUGGCCCUUAAGGAGGUUGGGCAAUAAAUUAACAUUCUGGGUGGUCUGUCCUACCUGUCUGCAAGAGGACACAUCCCCUGUGGCAGGGCUGGCAGAACAGGACAGUGCCAGCACACUGGCCACCCAUGUCCCCGUGGUGCCUGCAUUGCUGCUGGAGGUGGAUCUGCACUGGGACACUGAGCAGGCACUGGGAUAUGCACGUUUUGCCCAUGGAAAGAGGAAAGCAGGGCCUUGCCCAUGGAAAUGCUUUGGUAGUUUAAAGGCCAGAUCCCAGGACAUCUUCUCUGGUGCUUUCAGGGGCUGUUUGAAUGUGAGUUCCAGCUGGACUGGUGAGUACGUGUUGAUCCCCACUGUCCCAGCUUUGGGAGGGGACGAGGCCUUUGUGUGUUUAGCUCUCAGUUUGGUUUCUACAUGGUGACUGCUGUGUAGUCAUGUUCUGCUUCACUUUGCACAAACUUUCCAUUGUAGCCCCCUUACACUGACUGAGCUUUGACUGAGACAAAAGAAGGACUGGUAGUGUCAGAGCCAUGGUGGGGCAAGGUUUAAUCUCCAGCUGGUGCUGUACUUACCCAAAAUCAAUAUGAACAGCAGGUUGUCACUGGAACUGGAAAGAGACUCUCUAUGACAGGCUUAUGCUUUUUUAAAAACUAUUUCAGUUUAUCUUGUGCAGCUCUUUUGUAUAGGUAAUUCUUUCUGUUGCAGGGUCUGCUGAAAUGUUCCCAGGCCUGGCUGGAGGAUCAGUGUUGCUUUAAAACCUGAAUAAACAGUUAUACGCCCUGGUAGCUUCAGAUCCAGUAGCCAGAACAAAUGACAUUUUGCAUGAAUUCUUCCAAGUGAAUUGCUCUGUGACCACUGUAGACUUUUGAGUUUUUGACUCAUGAUAUAGAGCGCAGUUAAAGCUUUUCUUGAAGAGCUCUGAAAUGCCCUUCUUUCACCACCCCGAUUGUUUCCCCAGUCCGUGCAGCUAGCUGGGAGCCCAGUAUGGUUUUACUCCUGUGAGUUAUGUUUUGACUUGGGGUUUGGACUUUUUUG
rnacentral:lncRNA from 1 species